GGAGACACCAGGUUCAGUUCUCCAUGCAGUUACCGUGGUGUAACAGGAGUUGCUUCACAGGCUGCAGUGGAAUUUAAGCCUUAAAUGAAAAAAGAAUAAGGCUCAUUGUGUUUUUAAUUUUGUUUCAUGUAGGCAAGAGGGGAGAAAAUUGAUUUUGGUCUCAGCCUUUUUUUUCUCAUACAUGUCACUGAUGCAUUUCCAACCCUUGGAGAAUUGGUGAAUGUGGGAAUACAGGCUCUAAUACAAAACACUUGGCCUGUUUUCAGUUCCUAACACAUACUCCAGAGUUCAUGUUAUGGUUAUCAGAAAGAAUCUAUGAAAAAUGAAGCUGCGCACAACUGCAGACCAUCAGCAUGGCUUAACCUUGUCAAGUGGGGAUGAAACAGGAAGUGCUUUGUGACACUGACUGGCAGAAAUACAAACUGAUGAAGAAAACACGCUGCAGGAAAGAGGAUCUGAGAUGGUCUCUGCUAAAGGCUAUGAUCUUGUCCGGCACGUCUCGGGAGGAGUUAAGCAGUCAUGGGAGUGAUGCUUCAAUUAUCAAGGACUCGGUUUAAAUCCUGAAACUUCUAGAAGCCUAAAGGAGGAAAACUUGACUACAAUAUUAAACGAAUCAUAUUUGCUGUUUUCUUUUUAACCAAAAAGACUAAUUGAGAUGGAAAAAAAAAAUCAAACUAAAAACCAGCCCUACAAAAGAAG
rnacentral:lncRNA from 1 species